GAUGAACGCUAGCUACAGGCUUAACACAUGCAAGUCGAGGGGAAACGAUGAGAGAGCUUGCUCUCUUAGUCGUCGACCGGCGCACGGGUGAGUAACGCGUAUCCAACCUGCCUCUGACCAAGGGAUAACCCGUCGAAAGUCGGACUAAUACCUUAUUCAGUCGUCGGAAGUCAUCUGAUGACGACGAAAGAUUUCAUCGGUGAGAGAUGGGGAUGCGUCUGAUUAGCUUGUUGGCGGGGUAACGGCCCACCAAGGCGACGAUCAGUAGGGGUUCUGAGAGGAAGGUCCCCCAGAUUGGAAACGAGACACGGUCCAAAAUCGUACGGGAGGGAGCAGUGAGGAAUACUGGGCAAUGGGCGUAAGCCUGAAACAGCCAAGUAGCGUGCAGGAGGACGGCCAUAGGGGUUGUAAACUGCUUUUAUGCGGGGAAAAAGUGAGGGACGUGUCCUUCAUUGCAGGUACCGCAUGAAUAAGGACCGGCUAAUUCCGUG
rnacentral:rRNA from 1 species